rnacentral:misc_RNA from 1 species
UACGUGGGGUGCAAACGUUGCUCGGAAUUAUUGGGCGUAAAGCGCGCGUAGGCGGCUUACUAAGUCGGAUGUGAAAGCCCUGGGCUCAACCCAGGAAGUGCAUCCGAAACUGGUUCGCUAGAGUCUCACAGAGGGUUGCGGAAUUCCCGGUGUAGAGGUGAAAUUCGUAGAUAUCGGGAGGAACACCAGUGGCGAAGGCGGCAACCUGGGUGAUGACUGACGCUGAGGUGCGAAAGCGUGGGGAGCAAACAGG